UACGUAGGGGGCAAGCGUUGUCCGGAUUUAUUGGGCGUAAAGAGCGUGUAGGCGGCCAGAUAAGUCCGCUGUGAAAUCUCGAGGCUCAACUUCGAGCUGUCGGUGGAAACUGUCUGGCUAGAGUCCGGAAGAGGAGAAUGGAAUUCCUGGUGUAGCGGUGAAAUGCGUAGAUAUCGGGAGGAACACCUGUGGCGAAGGCGGCCCCCUGGUUGGAUACUGACGCUGAUACGCGAAAGCGUGGGGAGCAAACAGG
rnacentral:rRNA from 1 species